AUUGAACGCUGGCGGAAUGCUUUACACAUGCAAGUCGAACGGCAGCACGGACUUCGGUCUGGUGGCGAGUGGCGAACGGGUGAGUAAUGUAUCGGAACGUGCCCAGUCGUGGGGGAUAACGUAGUGAAAAUUACGCUAAUACCGCAUACGAUCUAUGGAUGAAAGCGGGGGAUCGCAAGACCUCGCGCGAUUGGAGCGGCCGAUAUCAGAUUAGGUAGUUGGUGGGGUAAAGGCCCACCAAGCCAACGAUCUGUAGCUGGUCUGAGAGGACGACCAGCCACACGGGAACGGGGAAACGGUCCAGACUCCUACGGGAGGCAGCAGUGGGGAAUUUUGGACAAUGGGCGAAAGCCUGAUCCAGCCAUUCCGCGUGCAGGAUGAAGGCCCUCGGGUUGUAAACUGCUUUUGUACAGAACGAAAAGGUUUCUACUAAUACUAGGAGCUCAUGACGGUACUGUAAGAAUAAGCACCGGCUAACUACGUGCCAGCAGCCGCCGUAA
rnacentral:rRNA from 1 species